UACGUAGGGUGCGAGCGUUGUCCGGAAUUAUUGGGCGUAAAGGGCUCGUAGGCGGUUUGUCGCGUCGGGAGUGAAAACACCGGGCUUAACUCGGUGCUUGCUUUCGAUACGGGCAGACUAGAGGCAUGCAGGGGAGAACGGAAUUCCUGGUGUAGCGGUGAAAUGCGCAGAUACCAGGAGGAACACCGGUGGCGAAGGCGGUUCUCUGGGCAUGUCCUGACGCUGAGGAGCGAAAGUGUGGGGAGCGAACAGG
rnacentral:rRNA from 1 species